rnacentral:lncRNA from 1 species
GCGUAUGUAUGUAUGUGUGUGUGUAUGUACGUAUGUAUGUAGCACUGAUUUUUUUCCGAUGCAUAUGUAUGAUACGUGUAUCUCAUAUAUCAGAUUUCAAACAGAUGUAUUAUCCAUAAAUUAUGGAAAGAAAACAUGAGUUCUUGAUAUGUAUCAAAUACAUAUGUCUGAUGCAUGUAUACUUGGUACUUAUGAUUGAUACAUUAAUUUAUUUUGAUAAAUAUUGAUGGACUCUG